ACUCUGAGUACAAAAUUACCAUAAUUCAGUAGCAUAAAAGUAUCGAUUUCUCAGUAUGUAUUUUUGUUAACUGAACUGGCAUGAAUAUAAAAUGAACAAUCGUUGCCCAUAUCAGUAAAUCGGAGUUCACCAGUUCCAGAUUUGAAUAUUAUUUUUCCAUUCAACAUGAUUUGAAUGGAAAAUUGAAUACAGUGCUCAUAUUUAUUCUACAACUGAUUAAUAAUUUCUGGCAUAAUUAUUAAACAAAAACUCUACCAUGAAGCUCUGGAUUUUUGGGAAAAAAAUUAGACUAUACGAACAAAGGUUUUGAAAACGUACUUUUCAUUUUCUUCAUUUAUCCUUUAUGUAACGUCAGUAUCUGAUCUGCAAUCAAGCUCCAAUAAACAACGAGCGGCGAUUGCCAAUUUACGAUUAAUUAAUUGGGGGCGACCCCGGCGUAGUGGUUAACAUCCAUACCUUUCACGCCAAAGUCACGAGUUCAAAUCUCACCCCCGGACAAGUCACGAAUGACCCAAGUAACACUCUUGGGCUGUAAUUUAAACAAGAUUAAUUAAGGCUUAGACACCACACGUGACCAGAGAUUUUUUUUCACAUCAUAAAAAUCCCAACGAACUCGGCUGAGAUUGAACCCAGACACACUGGGAUGAGAAAGUAGUAAUGCUUUCUACUCAUUACUCGAUUACUUUUUCGAAGAGACGUAUCAGCUUUUGUGAACAAUGCAUUUGAUCGUCGAUUUGGCUCGCUUGGUAGCUCGCCCUUACAUGCUAACACUACCAUCAGAUAAGUUAAAUUUUCCCCUACCUGACAGGAGUGCUAGUAUGCGUGGGUGAGCUACCAGCUACGCGAAAUCGACGAUCAAAUGCAUUGUUUACAAAAGCUUAUACGUCCCUUUGAAAAAGUAAUCGAUAUAUAACAUAAACUAAUGUUUGGUCAAAUUAAUCCUAUCGAAAUCUUCUCAAAGCUGAACACGCGAAAGAAGUAUAACAGCCAUAGUAGUGUGCUCAAUGUCAAUCCUCUUAGUGGCAUCGACGAACAAAUCCAGGAAAUCAUUUAAAUUUUCAAAAAGACUCACUACUGCAGUCUUUCGUUACAUUGUUGCACUUCUAUAUAAUUAGAUUUGAUAUUUUUCAAUGUUCCUAUACUUUCUAACACCGUAAACCAAUUCACGCGCACAGUCAGAGUACGGCUUCUGGGUUUGUAACAUUGUAACACUCCAGAGCCCAAUUGUGAAAUUAAGAGUUCAAAAUAAAGGUGCAAAAUUUGUCAAAAGGUAAUAAUCAAUCGUAUCAAGGCAUUUUCAACAAAAAUUGAAAAUCCCCAUUUUGGCGGUGCCAGUGAUUCGACCCCAACCAAUAAAAGUGAGAAUCCUAUACUUGACAUGAGGGGAAAUUUUCAAGAUGACAGAUCUGAUGGAGCUGUUUCCUAAAAAAAAAAAAACAUCAAGAUUCCCGCAUAGGAAAAUUGCUCCUAUUGUUCCGAGUUGAUCUGUAAGUUGAUCAUCAUGUUGAAAGUGACAUGUCAAACAACCGAUAAGCAUUAGUUGGUGUUUCUUUAUCUGCUUUUUAAAGAAUGCUAUUAGUUUCUAAUUAACCAGCAAUUUUCUCAAAUUUACUGGUUUUGUCGUCGAUUAAUGCAAAUCAAUUAUUUAAAACCUAGCUAACAAAUUAAUGUAUUGAGAAAACUGGAACUUUCUUACAGUUCAGAGCAUCAUCCAUCAAUUAUUGGAACACCCCAGCAAACAAUUUUAGCUGAAGAACGGCUUAUAUAGACAACAAUUAGCUGCAUAAGCGUGUGUUUGCCACUUUAAGCUGCUCUGCAGCUAAAAUUGAAUGCUGAUAUAUGAUUAAUUAUAAUCCUUAUGUGUUAAAUGAUAUCGCGGAGAGUUUAUCGGCUUUGGCUGAUGGGCAAUAUUUAAUCGUUUAAUUGCUUGAUGACUGCAAGGCCGAUAAACUCCCGAUGAUAAAGUUCCUCUUUUGGUAGCAUCCAGUGAAAUGGAAACUGAAAAAAAAGUUCACCUAAAUCAAAUGAUUGAUACUUUUUCAACGAACUUCCUCAGAAAAUCUCGAAUGAAUUGAAUCUCCAGCGGUGCACUGCAAUUAUUGAUUGUUACCGCUGUGUGAGUUUAGCUUUCCUCAAGUUCCUGCAAAUCAAAGUUGUGUUUGAGUUCCAAUGUCUUUUUCAAAAUAAGCAACAAGUAAACUAGUCCAUACUUUUAAGAAAUAGCCCUGAAUGAUCUACGUAACAUACUGCACAAUUUAAAAGAUCUGUAAACAUUCUCUAAUCGAAGGCAUGAUCCGAGAACCAUGCAUAAUUUAAUGGUCCGAUCAGUUUCCUCAUCCCGCAGGGUUUGUGGAUGUGGUGUGUAUUUUAACACUAGAAGUACGCAAUAUUCCAAACCCCGAACCUAAAUCAUUCAACUUCAUACACAUCAGGUUCAAACGAGGCUCCACAUUUGAAAGGCUGCUUCAAAUAAUCAACCCUGCAUAUAUUAGCUUCGUAUACGUCAUGCACGGACGUUCUAAUAUAUUAUCAGACGAUGUACAGAAAGAAUGCCGUUUACAGAAAGAAUGCAGCAUUUUGACCAAUUUCAAAGACACUAAAAGCAAAUGCUAAUAAAUUUAAUUAAAAUUUUUCAGCAAGUCCCAAUACUUAUUCGAAUUGAAUAUGAUUUGUUUUGAGUGUUGCCAAGCUAGGAUGCUCAUGGUGUGAAUUCACCAAAAUGCAUAACUAUAGGCGAACUUGCUCCAAACCAACUGCGUUGCUAUUCGAAGAUAGGGCGUCUCCAUGUGCACGGAUGGAUGAGGUGCUGGUGAAGAGUAUCCCUGCGGUUAAGGUCGAAACGUUGUCUAUAGUCGAAAUGACUAUGUGUGACCUGAAGAACACGAGCUGCAUCGACGAUGAGUAUUGAGGAUCUAGGGUUAAACGGCAGAUCUGUCGUUGUUUGUCAAAGAAGUUUCAUCACCACUGUCAUGAGAGAAGGACCACAUUCUAUGUAUUUAUUCACAUAAAUUUUGAACACGACUUCGCCGAGGAUUCGAAUGCAAGAUUCUACUGGUGCAAAAGUUGGUGCACAUGACCGGAAACAGUAUCAUGUUGCUAGGCGCGUUUUACUACAAUCAAUGCUACUCGUGUUGAUUCGAGAAAUUCACAUCAUAGAUUGAUCACCUGCGUACUUGAUUAAUUUGGCAAGGCAUUUUUGACCAGCACCUUCCGGUCGUAUGAAACAAGUCCAAAUUUGUCAAAAUCCACCUGGAUUUUUGUUUGCUUAAGCACUGUUUAUGGCAAAAAAGUGAUUUUUUCAUGAGCAUUAACUUCAAAUAACUUACCAACACUAGUGGACCGUGAGUAUUUGACCACCUAUAUAUACCAUCAUCUUGGUCAAGCUGUAUGAUAUGGUUUUACAGUUCUGUACAAUUCAUGUACAAAAUUUUGUAUUUUACACGCAGAGCUGCUAAUGACGUUACAAGGUUUGUAAUUGCCGAAUGCCUCGGUAGAUCAGUGAGAAGAACGUUGACAUCAAACAAGCUCGUAAGCUGCAGGGUUUUUUGGACAACAUUCAUAUGCUAGUUUCCUGGUGACUUCGGUUUAUAAAAUAUUGCAGAAUUUAAUCAACAACGAAGGAUUUCCGCAGGACAGUACGAUACUUGGGACGAUCAGCUUGGGUCAUGAGUGGUUCAAAAGGAUUUCAUGGAGCCCAAGAUGGAUCAUUUGGUAGGUGUUGGUAGUGCUAAAAUAAAUCUACCACUUAAUAUUUCAAAGUGAGAUCCAUGUAGCACAGUGGGGCAGCGAAUCCAAUAGCCAAAAACUCUAGAGUGCCUUAAAAAUGCUUGAUAGAGAUUUGCGAUUUUCGAAAAAGUAGCUCAAUUAGUUCGCAUUCCCGCUGUAUCGGUGGCGCUUGAUUUUUUGUUUUAAUUUAAGUAUCCUAGGAAGAUGGUUUCUGCAAGUUGUGCAUUUCAUAAAACUGAGAAACAAUGACGAGAACAUUUAAAAAAUGUCACUCACUGAAUGCCUGACGCACCAAAACUUGCUGCAAAAAAGGUGAUUUCACAAAUUUUUACGUAGGGUAGAUCCAAAAUUUAUACUGCAGUUACACUAUUUUUUUUUCCCACCACAACACUUCGCUGAUUGUAUUUAAAAUAUUCCUUAGACUUUCAGCUUCAGUUAAGGUUUUUUUGGCUGAGCAAGCGCAUUUUUACAGUUUUUUCUUGAAAUGAAACACACACACUACAAAAUGCUGCUAAUUUCGAAUUGCCAAUAGAAAAACAGCAGAUUAACAAACAGAUCAAAUGGAAAGGUUGCCGAAAAAAAGGAGGUUGAAGACAACAGUCAUGCCCACCUAAGAAUUUCGGAGCGUUGUUAAAGUGUUUUUAAACAGUGUUGGACAAUUCUAACGACUGGAAUGAAUAAAGCAGUAGGCAGCAGCUGAAUGUAAACAACCAAACACGGCAACUGUGCUGGUUACAUGGAGAAAAAACUCAUAGACUUCUAUGGACGCUGCUUAGAUUGCCGAGAAUACGUAAAAUCCCCUAUAUUGGUCAGAAAUUUAUGGUUUUUUCGAACACUGAAAAAAGUUUCUGUAUAGUUUCUAUUAGAAACGCACGUAAUAUUUUUCGAAUACCAAAAUUAAUGAUUUUUAUAUGAAUAUCACAUAACAUAAACAUUCUAUGUUAGUAAUCAUCUAGAUUUCAUUAGACACAUAAGGUGGUGCAAUUUCCAAUGAUGAAAUUGCAUGAAAGUUAUGUGAAGUUCACAUGGAUACUUUACGCUGGUUGAACAUGUAAGGAAAGUAUGAUUAUUUAUGGAGAUCCCUGAUCACCUGAUGGUCUUUGGAAUAAUUUCUGAGCAACCUUGUAGUGUGGGUGAACAUCUAAGAGGUGAUUUAAAUUGUUGACCAGUUGAAGAUCUUCAGAAUUAUACUAAAUCAACCUGAGGACAUGAGAACAUCCUGAGAAGAUUUUUGAGAUCUGUGAUCACCUGAAGGUCUUUGGAAUAUUUUCUGAGUCAGUCUGAGGUAUCAUGAGGGAAUAUCUGAAUAUAUGGUUUGAAUUUUUGGAUAGUUUGAGAUUCUGAAAAUCAACCUGAAGUCUUGAAAACGUAACCAGAGGUCUUUAUAGACAUCUUAAACACAUGAAACAAUCAAAAUUGAUUAAUGAGGGUUUUAGUAGGAUAAUUGUAUACCUUAUAAUAUUGUUUUUCCUUUAAAUUUUACUACUGUUGUAUCACUUUCACUUUCACUAGUUCACUUUCACUAUCACUUUGAAAAAAUAGACUCAGCCUAUAACUAGACACUGAAGAAGUUUUCAAGUAGUAAACGGGAUACGUAUAUGUUAUAGUCUUUUUUAAGUGAUAGUGAAAGUGAAUUAGUGAAAGUGAAAGUGAUACAACAGUAGUAGAAUUAAAAGAGAAAAACAACGUAAUAAGGAAUACAUGGAAAAAUUUCUGAGCUGCCUGGGAGGAUAUUUGAGAGAUCUAAGAACUCCUGAAGAUCUUUCGUAUAAUUUCUGAGCAGAAUAUCUUCUUGAUGUAAAAGACGCAAGCGCUUUCCUUAAAUUCUGUAAGGAACCAUAGAUUUCCAUGAAGUUCUAUAAUAUUCUAUCAAAUUAUUUAAACUACGAUGAUGAUCUUUUAUGAAAUACCUCUCACUGCUGCUCAAUCUCAUGAUAUGAAUUCACCAUGAAGCAUAACUUUAGGCGCACUUGCACCAAACCGAUGACGGUGCUGGUGGGAGAUGGUGCGUCUCCAUAUUGGACCCAAUAAAGGACGAAUUGCUGCAAGAUUAAAAUAACCGUAAGCCGGGGCAAAUCGAUCACUGUUUAACGUAAAUAUCGAUAUAACUUUCAACCUGAAACCACUAGCUAUGAGGACUUUAUCGUUCUGCAUAGUUACUUGGCUGUUGUGUUUAUUUUUAGGAAAAUGUUGACAUCUCAUAUAUGCAUAUGUCGAUUUGGGAUGAAAUUGAUCAACCCUUCAAAUCGCUACCUGGUACAUUUCUAGUUAAUGCGGUUCAUGAAUUUGGGUUCCCUGAUUCCGAAUAAAACGUCAGAAGUGUAUUGUAAGCAAAAUCUUCCAAAAUAGAUUCCUUGAAAUACACAGCAAUUGCUUUCAAAAUGUUAAGUAAUUUGACGAAAAUCCUCUUAUUUCUUGGCUAAUAAAUCUUGUUCUAUACCUCGAUAUCGCCAUAUCUCGAUGGUCCCUUUAAUAUCAAUAUAUGUAGAGUUGCUAAAUCUGUUCGAAAUAUUGUUAAAAGUUGAGUUUGACCAAACUUAUAACCGGCCAAAUUAGUAUUAAUGUCAAUCGAAAUCUUUCAGAAAAAAAUGUUUCUAGGUGAAAAAUAGGAAAACCAGACACGACCGGUACAUUCCAAUACCUGCCCGUAGUUUAUCCCUAAAACCUCACCUACAAAAAAAGGAGCGAUUAUGUCUGCUCAUCAUACCGGUUUGCUGCUAAAAAAACAGCAUUCCGGAAGUCAUCAAUCAACCUUCCACCAGACAGCGUAUGUUAAUCGUCUUUCACAACCCAACUUUAAGCUACAGCUGAAGCCUUUCCAUCUUAAAGGUCCGGGGAAGGAGCUCCACCCGCAGCUAAUGGUUUUAUGUGCAUCACUUCUUCUUCUUUUUCUUCGCAUUUCAAGCUUAUUUGCUUAUUGCGUGCUCUCAACUUAGUGUUCCAAAUGCACUUCCACAGUUAUUAAUUGAGAGCCAAUUACCAAUGCAUGAAUUUGUAUAUUGUGUGGCAAGCACAAUGAUACUCUAUGCCCAGGGAAGUCGAGAAAACUUCCAACCCGAAAGAUUCCCUCGACCGGACCGGGAGUCGAACCCGCCGCCUCUGGUUUGGUAAUACCGUACCUUUACUGACUAGGCUAUGAGGCCCCGCAUCCCAGCACCAUCAUUAAUUUUCCGUCCUUUUUCCAACCCGAUAAAAGGCACACUCAAAUCAACCAAAGCGAAAACUUUCCACCAACUCAUCAUCAUUCCGGCCUAGUUUGGUCAUCUGACUUGGCGGCCUGCAGCACGUGCUGCGGUAUGAUAUCAUUUUACACCAUUUCAAUUUUCAUCGCCAACAAUAUUGCAACUUUCGGUUCUCCCAGUCCAUCCCAUCGGAGCCCGGGAUCAUUUCUGAGAAAUCCACCCUGAGACCGUGACAUAGUUUAGUUCCUUUUUUUUUAUUUUUUUCGGGGUGGAUGUGACAUUUUUGUGAGUGCUUUAAAAUUGAACCAUUUGAUUGCUCUCGCUUCCACGUGAUGUAAUAUUCCAUCUCUCCCUCUAUUUCGUUCUUUCUGUUGCUCUCUAUUGAUCGAAUCAGAAUGUGAUAUUAUUUUGCUUGGUUAUAGAAAAUGCUCCUCUUCUUUUUUCUCUUACUCUCGUGAGGGUGCAGGAUAUGUGUAAAUGUAUAUCAAAAAUGUUGCGACUUGAUUGUUAUUCUCUGACAAUUCUGUGUGCUUACCCAAUAUCUUAUGAGAGACCACCUUAAUCCUACGGUCAAAACUGAAGGGGUUUUUUUUUCUUUUUUAGUGAUAUCUAUGUGACUUUUGUUUUUCUUCUUUUCAAUAGACACUGAUCGAGACAAAAAUAUGAAGAUAUGCUCACACCUUUCUUGGUUUUUUUGAUAUGUCUUGGUGGUUCCCACUUAUG